AUUGAACGCUGGCGGCAGGCCUAACACAUGCAAGUCGAGCGAGCGGAGGACGGGAGAGUAAUGCCUAGGCAUCUGCCUGGUAGUGGGGGAUAACUACUGGAAACGGUAGCUAAUACAGCAUACUAUCACAUGUGCCCAGAUGGGAUUAGCUAGUUUGGGGGGGAACGGGUCACCAAGGCGACGAUGCCUAGCUGGUCUGAGAGGAUGACCAGCCACACUGGACAUGUGACAAGGUUGAGAUUCCUACGGGAUGCAGCAGUGGGGAAGAUGGCACAAGGGGCUCAAGCCUGGUGCAGCCAUGCCGAGUGUAUGAAGAGGGCCGUCGGGUUGUAAAGUACUUUCAGCGGGGAGGGGUUACCCGCAGAAGAAGCACCGGCUAACUCCGUGCCAGCGGCAGCGGUAAUAC
rnacentral:rRNA from 1 species